ACUGUCAGUGAUGAGAUUUUUGUCCAGUUUUGAGUUUAACGACCAUGGGAAAACCUUACAUGCACUACCAUCUGAGACACA